CUGCUACAGAGGUGUUGGCAAUCCAGGGGAUUGCCAAAGGGGUGUGGUGGAGCCAAUAAAAGGGCAGAGUUGCUUUGUGCUUGCACACUGCACUCUGACGAGGGGACGCCGCAAUGUGCUACAGGUUCCAGGCCCAGUCAGUGGGGCACCUGAAACCUGGUGAUGGACCUGUGGCACCAGGGUCCCCUCUCCACCGCACCCAGAGAGCAUGUGAUUUGGCAGGAUAGACGGGUCAGACCGUGAGCCCCUGCUGCUUUGCCUGGUUUGUCUACUUUGCCUGUUUUUUUUAUCUUCUUGUUGGUUUCUGCUCCUGUGCGGUGCGGCCAAACUGAAG